AGUAAAGUCAGCUAAAUAAGCUUUUGGGCCCAUACCCCAAGAAUGACGGUGAGACCCCCUCCUUUACUA
rnacentral:tRNA from 1 species